GUAAGAGGGUGAGGGAAAGAAAACCAGGGCAGGUGUGAAAAGGUACAAGUUAACACUGCACAAUUGGGAUUCAGUCUUACUGGGGAUCCCCGGGAGAUGAUGGAGAAUACAUCUCUGAGAGAUUUACUUCACAGGGGUGAAGAAAUUGAGAAGUAUAACUUGUGGAACUCAGAAGAGAAGAAAGUAUUAUGUCAUGAAGUGAAUAAGUGAAGAGAAAUAGACCUAAGAGUAUCCUUUACGUUAUUGGUCUAUUCAAGAUUUUUCACCCUUCCUUGAGCCAAGUUUGAGAAAUUUUACUGUCCUAGAAAUUCAUCAAAUGUGUGGAGACUUUCGAACUUAUUAACAAAUAAUGAUCAUGUCAUCUGGCCAUGAAGCAGUUUUUAAGUAUUCUUCUGGAUCUUAGCUAGCAUUGUACAUUGAACUACUCUACAGAUAAAUCUCUGAUUUAUUUUCAUAACAAAAAGCAGCUCGCAUUCAACAGAGAAGCCACGAAAAGCACACAGAAAAUCCCAAUGGAAAAAAAUCU
rnacentral:lncRNA from 1 species